UUGGGGAUUCUGCCACACCUCCGUGUCCUGCUCCUCACAGGCAAUGGCCUCACCUCCCUGCCGCCCAAUUUGGCCGUCGCAGAACAAUAGAGGAUCUAGGCCCAGAGAUGCUCAACACCAGCCGGAAGUCACACAGCAAGCAAAGCAGCAGCAGCACCAGAGCCAGAGCUCAGGGAUCCUGGCCACCCUUCCCAUGCAUCUUCUAAUAUGGGAGGCAUCUGUAACAUCGCUGACAAGCAAGAGGUACAUCCUGAGGUUCCCAGCGCUGGAGACACUGAUGCUGGAUGACAACAGACUCUCCAACCCCAGUUGCUUUGCCAGCCUGGCUGGGCUCAGGAGGUAAAGCCAUAAGCCUUUCUCUGCUGGGCCUCCUCUAAUCCCCAGGCUUGCUCACACUCUGAGUGCUGUUCUGGAAGCCAAAAGGUUUGGGUUUAAAGCCUAGCUCCACAAUUUAUCUCUACUGUGUGGCCAUGGGUAAGUCAUUUCUCCCCUCUGAGCUUUGGCUCCUCCAUAAAAAUGGCCAUGAGUGAGGACAUUUCUGAUCACAUGACUGAAUUAGAAGCAGCAAAGAGAAAGGAAAACAGGAGGAGACUUUACCCAAGAUAGGAUUCGGACCCUGACAGUAGAGACAGGAAAAUUUUUUA
rnacentral:sRNA from 1 species